rnacentral:rRNA from 1 species
UUGAACGCUGGCGGCAGGCCUAACACAUGCAAGUCGCGCGGAUGAAGGGAGCUUGCUCCUGGAUUCAGCGGCGGACGGGUGAGUAAUGCCUAGGAAUCUGCCUGGUAGUGGGGGAUAACGUCCGGAAACGGGCGCUAAUACCGCAUACGUCCUGAGGGAGAAAGUGGGGGAUCUUCGGACCUCACGCUAUCAGAUGGGCCUAGGUCGGAUUAGCUAGUUGGUGGGGUAAAGGCCUACCAAGGCGACGAUCCGUAACUGGUCUGAGAGGAUGAUCAGUCACACUGGAACUGAGACACGGUCCAGACUCCUACGGGAGGCAGCAGUGGGGAAUAUUGGACAAUGGGCGAAAGCCUGAUCCAGCCAUGCCGCGUGUGUGAAGAAGGUCUUCGGAUUGUAAAGCACUUUAAGUUGGGAGGAAGGGCAGUAAGUUAAUACCUUGCUGUUUUGACGUUACCAACAGAAUAAGCACCGGCUAACUUCGUG